UACGAAGGGGGCUAGCGUUGUUCGGAAUUACUGGGCGUAAAGCGUAUGCAGGCGGACUUUUAAGUCGGGGGUGAAAUCCCGAGGCUCAACCUCGGAACUGCCUUCGAUACUGGAAGUCUUGAGUCCGGGAGAGGUGAGUGGAACUCCGAGUGUAGAGGUGAAAUUCGUAGAUAUUCGGAAGAACACCAGUGGCGAAGGCGGCUCACUGGCCCGGUACUGACGCUGAGAUACGAAAGCGUGGGGGAGCAAACAGG
rnacentral:rRNA from 1 species